GACGAACGCUGGCGGCGUGCUUAACACAUGCAAGUCGAACGAUGAAAGUCGUUUUGAUAUCUUCGGAUUGAUAAACUUCUGGAUUAGUGGCGGACGGGUGAGUAACGCGUGAGCAAUCUGCCUUACACAAAGGGAUAGCCUCGGGAAACCGGGAUUAAUACCAUAUGAUAUCUAUUCACCGCAUGGUUUAUAGAUUAAAGAAUUUCGGUGUAAGAUGAGCUCGCGUCCCAUUAAUUAGUUGGUGAGGGUAACGGCCCACCAAGAUAGCGAUGGGUAGCCGAUCUAAGAGGAUGACCGGCCACAUUGGAACUGAGAAACGGUCCAAACUCCUACGGGAGGCAGCAGUGGGGAAUAUUGCACAAUGGGGGAAACCCUGAUGCAGCGACGCCGCGUGAGCGAUGAAGGCUUUCGAGUCGUAAAGCUCUGUCCUAUGGGAAGAUAAUGACGGUACCAUAGAAGAAAGCCCCGGCUAAUUACGUGCCAGCAGCCGCGGUAAU
rnacentral:rRNA from 1 species